AUGCUCCUCAGAAUGGGUCCCCGUUUGUUUCUGCACGACGUUAACUCUCCACAUCUGUGUCUUUCCUUGCUGUUAUUUGGAAAAUUUCUUCAGGGACUUUUACGUUUUCAGACAGGAGGAAGCAGAGGGGAGAAGAAUUCUUCACCAGGGGAGUUGAUGAGAAUGCUGGCAUUUCAGGCGUUGUGGUGGCUGGAAGCUUCUCUGGCAGAGGCACUGGAGUGUGAGGCCCGUCCAGCAGAGGAAUUCUGCUUGUCCUCACCUGACCUGCAGCAGGGAGGAUUUUUUGGGCUGCCUGUAAAAGAAGGUUUCUUUCCCUCUGCUGUAAAAGUCUGAAUGAGGGAAGCACUGGAGGGCAGGAUGGAUGGUCCCCAAACCAGGUUCUCCAGGCCACCUGCUCAGCCAUCCCGAGGGCGUGGCUCCUCCAGGUCCCAGGUGAGUCAAUGCCCCCCAAGCAGGGUGGAGGACCCGAGAAGGAGAGGCAUGACCCUUUCUUUAACAGAUCUUGUCUCAGGUGUUUGCACGUAUCCUUUCUGCACACUCCAUUGGCUACAGGAAGGCAGAGAAAUGUGGCCACAAACCCAGCUGAAUAUCGACAGAUCUAUUAUUGUGGAAUAAAGAGCGAAUGAUUAUUGAAGGCA
rnacentral:lncRNA from 1 species